CCUACGGGAGGCUGCAGUGGGGAAUAUUGGACAAUGGGCGAAAGCCUGAUCCAGCCAUGCCGCGUGUGUGAAGAAGGCCUUCGGGUUGUAAAGCACUUUCAGUGGGGAAGAAAGCCUUGGGGCUAAUACCCUCGAGGAAGGACAUCACCCACAGAAGAAGCACCGGCUAACUCCGUGGCCAGCAGCCGCGGUAAUACGGAGGGUGCGGGCGUUAAUCGGAAUUACUGGGCGUAAAGCGCGCGUAGGGGGUCUGAUAAGCCGGUUGUGAAAGCCCCGGGCUCAACCUGGGAACGGCAUCCGGAACUGUCAGGCUAGAGUGCAGGAGAGGAAGGUAGAAUUCCCGGUGUAGCGGUGAAAUGCGUAGAGAUCGGGAGGAAUACCAGUGGCGAAGGCGGCCUUCUGGACUGACACUGACGCUGAGGUGCGAAAGCGUGGGUAGCAAACAGGAUUAGAUACCCCGGUAGUC
rnacentral:rRNA from 1 species